GAACUGAAGAGUUUGAUCCUGGCUCAGAUUGAACGCUGGCGGCAUGCCUUACACAUGCAAGUCGAACGGC
rnacentral:rRNA from 1 species